UACGUAGGGGGCAAGCGUUGUUCGGAAUUACUGGGCGUAAAGGACGCGUAGGCGGCCAUCUAAGUCAGACGUGAAAUCCCCGGGCUCAACCCAGGGACUGCGCUUGAUACGGCUGUGCUCGAGGAUGGAAGAGGGCCGCGGAAUUCCCAGUGUAGAGGUGAAAUUCGUAGAUAUUGGGAAGAACACCGGUGGCGAAGGCGGCGGCCUGGUCCAUUUCUGACGCUGAGGCGCGACAGCGUGGGGAGCAAACAGG
rnacentral:rRNA from 1 species